CAUUACUUUGCUGUUUAAAAAGGACUUUCAUGGCCAGUCCUGGUGUCUGAGUGAUA
rnacentral:snoRNA from 1 species